CAGUCGCCGCGGGAAAACGAAGGGUGCAAGCGUUACUCGGAAUUACUGGGCGUAAAGCGUGCGUAGGUGGUGGUUUAAGUCCGUUGUGAAAGCCCUGGGCUCAACCUGGGAAUUGCAGUGGAUACUGGGUCACUAGAGUGUGGUAGAGGAUAGUGGAAUUUCCGGUGUAGCAGUGAAAUGCGUAGAGAUCGGAAGGAACAUCUGUGGCGAAGGCGACUAUCUGGGCCAACACUGACACUGAGGCACGAAAGCGUGGGGAGCAAACAGGAUUAGAUACCCGCGUAGUCCCUGUCUCUUAUAC
rnacentral:rRNA from 1 species